CGAAUCCUGAAAUGUUUACUAAACAAAUAACAAGUUUUGACCGAACAAUAAAUCGUAGGGAGCUCAAAUUUCUACUUGGCAAACAUGCCUGCAUCAGUACGGGAAGUUUAAAAAGCAGAAGAGGGCACCCACCUGUAAGCAACGGGUUCAAAACAGAUUUGAAAGAAACGUGGCACUUUGGGAUUCGU
rnacentral:other from 1 species